rnacentral:snRNA from 1 species
AUGCUCACUUUGACAGCACGUGUACUAAGCUGGAAUGAUACAGAGAAGAUUAGCAUGGCUCUUGCACAAGAACGACAGGCAAAUUCAUCAAGCAUUCCAUAAAAAA